AGGGGCCGGGCGGGACCGGGGCCGGACCGGGACAAGGGCCGGGACAAGGGCCAGGAACGGGCCGCGCCGGGGCGGCCCCGCGGGCACCGGCGGCGAUGGCACCGCGGCUGCAGCUGGAGAAGGCGGCGUGGCGCUGGACCGAGACGGUGCCGCCCGAGGCGGUGGCGCAGGAGCACAUCGAGGCGGCCUAUCGCGUCCGGCUGGAGCCCUGCCAGCGCGGAGCCUGCCGGAGGAACUGCCGGGGGAACCCCAACUGCCUGGUGGGCAUCGGGGAGCACGUGUGGCUGGGUGAGAUCGACGAGAACAGCUUCCACAACAUCGACGACCCCAACUGCGAGCGCCGCAAGAAGAACGCCUUCGUGGGCCUGACCAACCUGGGGGCCACGUGCUACGUGAACACCUUCCUGCAGAUGUGGUUCCUGAACCUGGAGCUGCGCCAGGCACUCUACCUGUGCCCCAGCGCCUGCAGCGACGGCGUCCCCAAGGACACAGACUACGAGCCCCAGAGUAUCUGUGAGCACCUGCAGUACCUGUUUGCGCUGCUGCAGAACAGCAAACGGCGCUACAUCGACCCCUCGGCCUUCGUCAAGGCCCUGGGGCUGGACACGGCCCAGCAGCAGGAUGCCCAGGAGUUUUCCAAGCUGUUCAUGUCCCUGCUGGAAGAUACUUUAUCCAAACAGAAGAACCCAGAUGUCAGGAACAUCGUGCAGAAGCAGUUCUGUGGAGAGUAUGCCUAUGUCACUGUCUGCAACCAGUGUGGCAGAGAAUCCAAACUGGUGUCCAAAUUUUACGAGCUGGAGUUAAACAUCCAAGGACACAAGCAGCUGACAGACUGUAUAACAGAAUUCCUCAAGGAAGAAAAAUUAGAAGGGGACAAUCGUUACUUUUGUGAGACUUGUCAGAGCAAGCAGAAUGCCACGAGGAAGAUCCGCCUGCUCAGCCUGCCCUGCACCCUCAACCUGCAGCUCAUGCGCUUCGUGUUCGACAGGCAAACUGGUCACAAGAAGAAGCUGAACACCUACAUCGGCUUCUCGGAGCUGCUGGACAUGGAGCCUUUCAUGGAGCAGAAAAAUGGUGUGUACGUGUACGAGCUGAGCGCCGUCCUCAUCCACCGCGGUGUCAGCGCCUACUCCGGCCACUACAUCGCCCACGUCAAGGACCCGCAGACGGGCGAGUGGUACAAGUUCAACGACGAGGACAUCGAGAAGAUGGAGGGCAAGAAGCUGCAGCUGGGCAUUGAGGAAGAUCUAGCGGAGCCGUCGAAAUCCCAGACUCGGAAGCCCAAGUGUGGGAAGGGCACCCACUGCUCCCGGAAUGCCUACAUGCUGGUGUACAGGCUGCAGGCCAGGGAGAAAUCCCUCACUGUCGAGGUGCCAGCUUUCCUGCAGGAGCUGGUGGAGAGGGAUAACUGCAAGUUUGAGGAGUGGUGCAACGAGAUGGCCGAGAUGCGCAAGCAGAGCGUGGCCAGGGGGAAGAUCAAACACGAGGAGGUGAAGGAGCUCUACCAAAGGUUACCCGCCGAAGCUGGUUCCCCCUACGACUUCAUCUCUCUGGAAUGGCUGCAGAAAUGGCUGGAUGAGUCCACUCCUCCCAAACCUAUCGACAACACGGCCUGCCUGUGCUCCCAUGGCAAACUCCAUCCCGAUAAAAUAUCCCUGAUGAAGAGGAUUUCGGAAUACGUGGCCGACUUCUUCUACCGGCGCUACGGGGGAGGGCCCCGGCUCAACGUCAAAGCACUUUGCAAGGACUGUGUGGUGGAAAGGUGUCGAAUCCUGCGGCUCAAAAACCAGCUGAACGAAGACUACAAAACUGUGACCAACCUGCUGAAGGUCACGGUCAAGGGGAACGACGGGUUUUGGGUUGGAAAAGCCUCUUUGAGGAGCUGGCGUCAGCUGGCUCUGGAGCAGCUGAACGAGCAAGAUGAAGAUGCAGAGCACAGUAACGGCAAAAUGAAUGGAAAUGCACAAAACAAAGAUGAAUCAAACGAAGAGAAGAGGGAGGAGGAAGAGGAGUUAAAUUUUAAUGAAGACAUCGUUUGCCCACACGGUGACCUGUGCAUCUCCGAGAACGAGCGCAGGGUGGUUUCCAAGGAAGCCUGGGAGAAGCUCAAGCAGUAUUUCCCCAAAGCCCCCGAAUUCCCAAACAACAAAGAGUGCUGUUCCCAGUGCAAGAUUCUGGAGCGUGAAGGGGAGGAAAACGAAGCUCUGCAUAAGAUGAUGGCCAGUGAGCAGAAGACUUCUCUCCAGAACCUGUUCCAUGAUAAAUGCAGGCCUUGCCUGGGCAGUUGGCCUCAGGAGACAGAUGAGCUGUAUAUUGUUUCGCAGUUCUUUGUAGAAGAAUGGAGGAAAUUUGUCAGGAGGCCGACGCGCUGCAGCCCCGUGUCCUCCAUAGCCAACAGUGUCCUGCUCUGCCCCCACGGGGGGCUCAUGUUCACCUUCGCUUCCAUGACCAAAGAAGACUCCAAACAUAUAGCUCUGAUAUGGCCCAGCGAGUGGGAGAGGAUCCAAAAGCUCUUCGUGGUGGAUCACGUCAUCAAGAUCACCCGGACGCAGGGGCCCGAGGGCAGCCGCUACACCUCAGAGCCCCAGCUGUGCCCGGAGUGCCGGGAAGGGCUCCUGUGCCAGCAGCAGCGGGACCUGCGCGAGUACACCCAGGCCACGGUGUACGUGCACAAGGUGGUGGAUAACAAAAAGGUGAUGAAGGACGCGGCUCCGGAGCUGAACGUGAGCAGCUCGGAGGCUGAAGAGGAAAGGGAGGAAAACAAGCCAGAGGGGGAGCAGGAUCCCGAUUUUAACCAGGCCAACGGCGGCACGAAACGCCAGAAGCUGUCCCAGCAGAGCUACAUCACCUACCAAAAACAGGGAAUCAGGAGGAGCACCCGGCACAGGAAGGUCCGAGGGGAGAAGGCCCUGCUGGUGUCGGCCAACCAGACCCUGAAAGAGCUAAAAAUACAGAUCAUGCACGCCUUCUCCGUGGCCCCCUUCGACCAGAACCUGUCCAUCGACGGCAAGAUCCUGAGCGACGACACAGCCACGCUGGGCAGCCUGGGCGUCAUCCCCGAGUCCGUCAUCCUGCUCAAGGCUGAUGAGCCCAUCGCGGAUUACGCGGCGAUGGAUGACGUUAUGCAAGUUUGUAUGCCUGAAGAGGGAUUUAAAGGGACUGGUUUACUCGGCCACUGAUGGUUUUCCAAGAGGAGCGACCCGAAGGGAAGAGGAUUUUGGGACGUGGUAGGGGCAUUCAAAGCAUCCAAAAAAAAAGUUGGAUCCGGGACUUUGUGACUCUUCCAGGAGGCAGGAAAAACCCCGAGCGAGGCGUGUGCUCCCCACAGCAAACCAAACCAAUGCCUUAUGUCAAAGCAGAUUGCACUGAAGGACAUCCCUGCUCCAGGAGAGCCGGCCCGGGGCUGGCAAAUAAACAACAGCCAGGUUGGGAAGCUGAGCAGCGGCAGUCGGUGUGUUCGGGGCGAGGGGGUGUCCAGUGAUCCCACAGAUCCCAACCCUCCUGCUCCAUCCUCCUCUCUGGGAUAACCCAAUCUUUGAUCCGCUGUCGGGCCCGCUUGGAAGUGGCAGGAAUUGGGACUGGGUGGGGAACGUCUGGCACACACACACACACAACGAAAUCUUCAUUGGUUUCACCCCAAAUGGGAGCUGGGAUCUGCUUCCCAAACCUUCCCCUCUCCCGCGUCCCUCCGCCACUUCCACACCUUGGAUGAUCCAAGAGCCACCUGUGCUCUGGGAACUGGUUGUUUUGGGUUUGUUUUUAGAAAUUUGAGGUGUUUUAGCAACUCUGGAGAACAUUUUCUUCCCGGAGUGCUUGGGACAGCCAGAGCCAGCAGGGGGGUGCGGGUGGGAGGUGAUUCCCAUGGGAAGAGGUUUUUUCCCCCCCUUUAUCCUCAUUUUUCAGCAAUGCACUAAUUAUUAUUUUUUUUUUAACAUCUCCCAGCAAGGAUUUCUCCCCAUUAAUAUUUAGCAGGAACUAUCCCACUUCCAGACUGAUCCACACCAGGCACUGCCAAGGGAUCUCUGUCCUGAAAUUCCAAGUUUCCUCUUCCUUUCCAGCCUUUUCCCUUGUUUCCUUGGAAAAACACAAUGUGGAGAUCACUCAGUUUUAUUUUGUCAAGGUUUGCGAGAAUUUGGGAUGCAAGAAGAAGGGGGAGGGGCAAAAAUCCCAUCCCCCAAAACCCCACUAGUUUUGAUUUCCAAGGUUUGAUUUCCAAGGUUUUAUCCCAAGAAUUCCAGCUGUUCUUUGCCAAACUCCCUCUCCCCUGUCCCUGCUGGAUUUGGGGGUGAAGCAGCACCAUUUGAGGGGUUCUAAAGCUCCUAAGAAGUGGUUUUUUGGGGGGCAGUUUGGAUUCUUUCCCAAGGUACAGACAUGAGGAAUUCCAUGUGCCGAAGCCACAGGAGGUUUUUUCUUCCCAGCCUGAAGCACUCACUUGUGUACAUAUUCCUUGGAAAUUCCAUCUUUUCAAGUUGCUGUUCAUUUUUUUUUAUUGUUAUAUAUAUAUAUAUAUAUACAUAUAUA